rnacentral:rRNA from 1 species
GAUGAACGCUGGCGGCGUGCCUAAUACAUGCCAGUCGAGCGAACAGAUGAGGAGCUUGCUCCUCUGACGUUAGCGGCGGACGGGUGAGUAACACGUGGAUAACCUACCUAUAAGACUGGGAUAACUUCGGGAAACCGGAGCUAAUACCGGAUAAUAUAUUGAACCGCAUGGUUCAAUAGUGAAAGACGGUUUUGCUGUCACUUAUAGAUGGAUCCGCGCCGCAUUAGCUAGUUGGUAAGGUAACGGCUUACCAAGGCAACGAUGCGUAGCCGACCUGAGAGGGUGAUCGGCCACACUGGAACUGAGACACGGUCCAGACUCCUACGGGAGGCAGCAGUAGGGAAUCUUCCGCAAUGGGCGAAAGCCUGACGGAGCAACGCCGCGUGAGUGAUGAAGGUCUUCGGAUCGUAAAACUCUGUUAUUAGGGAAGAACAUAUGUGUAAGUAACUAUGCACGUCUUGACGGUACCUAAUCAGAAAGCCACGGCUAACUACGUG